UACGUAGGUGGCAAGCGUUGUCCGGAUUUACUGGGCGUAAAGGGCGUGCAGGCGGUUUGUUAAGUGCAGAGUGAAAGCUCCCGGCUCAACUGGGAGAGGUCUUUGCAUACUGGCAAACUCGAGGGAGGCAGAGGAAAGUGGAAUUCCCGGUGUAGUGGUGAUAUGCGUAGAUAUCGGGAGGAACACCUGUGGCGAAGGCGGCUUUCUGGGCCUUACCUGACGCUGAGACGCGAAAGCGCGGGGAGCGAACCGG
rnacentral:rRNA from 1 species